CCUACGGGCGGCAGCAGUGGGGAAUAUUGCACAAUGGGCGCAAGCCUGAUGCAGCCAUGCCGCGUGUGUGAAGAAGGCCUUCGGGUUGUAAAGCACUUUCAGCGGGGAGGAAGGCGGUGAGGUUAAUAACCUCAUCGAUUGACGUUACCCGCAGAAGAAGCACCGGCUAACUCCGUGCCAGCAGCCGCGGUAAUACGGAGGGUGCAAGCGUUAAUCGGAAUUACUGGGCGUAAAGCGCACGCAGGCGGUCUGUCAAGUCGGAUGUGAAAUCCCCGGGCUCAACCUGGGAACGGCAUUCGAAACUGGCAGGCUAGAGUCUUGUAGAGGGGGGUAGAAUUCCAGGUGUAGCGGUGAAAUGCGUAGAGAUCUGGAGGAAUACCGGUGGCGAAGGCGGCCCCCUGGACAAAGACUGACGCUCAGGUGCGAAAGCGUGGGAGCAAACAGGAUUAGAUACCCCGGUAGUC
rnacentral:rRNA from 1 species